rnacentral:piRNA from 2 species
UGGCAGAGCUGGUGUCAUGGGCUGCUUU